rnacentral:rRNA from 1 species
UUUUGGACAAUGGGCGCAAGCCUGAUCCAGCAAUGCCGCGUGAGUGAAGAAGGCCUUCGGGUUGUAAAGCUCUUUUGUCAGGGAAGAAACGGUGAGCUCUAAUACAGUUUGCUAAUGACGGUACCUGAAGAAUAAGCACCGGCUAACUACGUGCCAGCAGCCGCGGUAAUACGUAGGGUGCAAGCGUUAAUCGGAAUUACUGGGCGUAAAGCGUGCGCAGGCGGUUAUGUAAGUCAGAUGUGAAAUCCCCGGGCUCAACCUGGGAAUGGCAUUUGAGACUGCAUGGCUAGAGUGUGUCAGAGGGGGGUAGAAUUCCACGUGUAGCAGCGAAAUGCGUAGAGAUGUGGAGGAAUACCGAUGGCGAAGGCAGCCCCCUGGGAUAACACUGACGCUCAGCACGAA